rnacentral:lncRNA from 1 species
AUAUUUAAAUCUAAUACAUAUUCACCAGGGUGCAUGACAGUGAUAUUGACACUGACAUCCGUACAAUGAGACACAUUAUGAUGAGAACCCUACAAAGCCUACAAUGUCCAUGGCACAGCUAGAAGAGAUUUAUUUACAUAUGUAAACCUAAUAAAGGAUAACCCUAAAACCCAGUGUCAUGCAAGGCUUGAGAAUAAUGUACCCAGUGACAUGGGCACCAUGUACCUUUUGGAUGUAUGGACCAACAUUUUGGCAUUGAGGUCCUCUACAUGAACUAUGCCACAAUGGCAUUGCCUGCAUAACAAUCAGCUCCUCCACAAGCACUUCUAAAUAUCAAUGUUGCCAUAUGUUCAUCCAUAUUAGAAGAGUGUCAGGUUAUAAACUUUUUAUUGAUGUUCACUGAUAAAGAAUUACCUAUUUUAUCCUAACCUUUGAAAGAAAAUGAAAACAAAACCUGACAUUUUGAAGGUAAAAUUAGUUGAAUAUGCAAGAAAAUUGGAUAAAUAAAUAAGUAACAAAACAGCUGAAUUGAAUAAAUUAAGGUUAAUUAAAAUUCUGGUCAAAUGUUUCAUUUGAGAAUUCAAGUAAAAUCUUUGUUUUGAAAGAGUUGACGAACCUUCCCAGAUGUGUAUUUCUUAUCAACUGUUUUUGUGGCAAUCAAUUUGUAGUUUUGCAUGGCAUUUUGUGAUGGUUCAAGAAACUUAGGUGUAAAUGGGUGAUAUUUAUGAUACUGUAAAAAGAAAGAAUGACUAUUCUGUUGAUCUAGUGUGAUAUGAUAUGUUAAAAAAAUGAAAUAGUUAAAAUGUUGGAAUUGAUAUUUAGAAUCAAUAUAAUUAAAUAAUUUGUAAUUAAUUAUAGAAAAAUAUCAUAGAUGCUAUAAUAAUUAAUUAAACCUAUAAAAUUAUAGAAAAUUUGCUAUACAUAUAUAUAGAUCGAAUAAAUUAAAUUAAUUAAAAUUUCAAUCUAUAAAAUAAUUAAUUAAACCUACAAAAAUAUUUUUCGAUCUAUAAUUAAUUACAAUAUGUUGCUUCUAAAAGAACAAACUCGUAGGUAUGACAAUACAGCACCUUUAUCACAUCAGUGUUGUUUUGUAAACUGCACUUUAUUGCAUCAUCUGAUAUAUUAUAAAAUAUUUACAAAUAAAGAGUUUAGUUUGGUUUAUUUUUUAAAACUUUAAUUCUAUUUUUUUGGUCUGUAAAUCUGAUAUUCUUGUUGAAUCCUUGUUACAAAUUAAAAACUUUAAAAUCUAGGUUUUCAAAAGAGUUGAUGACAAAAAAAGGAGAGGAUACAGCAAGUAUUUAAUGAAGAUGAUAGUAGAAACUUCAAGUGCAUGCAUUGAUUACACUCUUAAUACUAAUCUUAAAAUGUUAUUAAAACGCUUUGAGAACUCUGAAUUAUCCUUGCAUGAUUCAUUUAUUUACUUAUUUUUGGAUUAAUCGUUAGUUCAUUUUUGUGAAAAUUUGCAAUUUUUAAAACUAAUGUCCAUGUUUCAUAUUCUUAGUUAUCAUUAAAAAUGUAUUGCUCAUAAAAUCACAGGAGUCCAUUACUUUGUGUAAUUGAUGUAAAGAUCACCUGACCAAUAUUUUUAAAUGAAUAUACUAGAAGAACAAAGAAGCUGUAAAUUUAAAAUUAUAAAUCCAAUACAAUUGGUCAUACCAAUCUAUUUUUCUAUAUCAGCUUAUUGAUUGAUUAUUGAAUCUACACACGUAGU